AUUGAACGCUGGCGGAAUGCUUUACACAUGCAAGUCGAACGGUGGAGGGGCAACCCUUGAGAGUGGCGAACGGGUGAGUAAUGUAUCGGAACAUGCCCAGUCGUGGGGGAUAACGUAGCGGAAGUUACGCUAAUACCGCAUACGAUCUAUGGAUGAAGGCGGGGGAUCGCAAGACCUCGCGCGAUUGGAGUGGCCGAUAUCGGAUUAGGUAGUUGGUGGGGUAAAGGCCUACCAAGCCGACGAUCUGUAGCUGGUCUGAGAGGACGACCAGCCACACUGGGACUGAGACACGGCCCAGACUCCUACGGGAGGCAGCAGUGGGGAAUUUUGGACAAUGGGCGCAAGCCUGAUCCAGCCAUUCCGCGUGCAGGAAGAAGGCCCUCGGGUUGUAAACUGCUUUUGUACGGAACGAAACGCGCUGAGCUAAUACCUCGGCGUAAUGACGGUACCGUAAGAAUAAGCACCGGCUAACUACGUGCCAGCCGCCGCGGUAAAAC
rnacentral:rRNA from 1 species